rnacentral:tRNA from 1 species
UCGGGGCGUAGCUCAGCUUGGUAGAGCGCUACGUUCGGGACGUAGAGGUCGCAUGUUCAAAUCAUGUCGCCCCGAUGAA